UUUAAUCCACUAGACCAUAUUUUUUCUUUUUCUUUUCUCUUUUUUUU
rnacentral:sRNA from 1 species